AUUAGAAGCUAUGUAGAUUUAGAGAGCGUUCGGUGGUAGAUAACAAGCUGUCGUUUGGGAACAACGACAACUUGUGGAGUACCAAGCGAUGAAAAUGACCCCAAGAUCGCAGUGUAUAUUGGGACUCCUGUUCUUUGCCAUUGGAUUGGCAAACGGAGCUGAAGAUGUGAGGGUUGUAGAUGCCGACCUGCCCUCGGUAGUCCAUGAGAACAGCUACCAGGACUACCGCUACUGGGUCCAGGCCCUGCCGCUGGGCGUCACGCUCACACAGGGCAGGUACAACAUCGGCUUCUACCUGUCUGAGGA